rnacentral:rRNA from 1 species
ACUACGGGAGGCUGCAGUGGGGAAUAUUGGACAAUGGGGGGAACCCUGAUCCCGCGACGCCGCGUGAGUGAAGAAGUAUUUCGGUAUGUAAAGCUCUAUCAGCAGGGAAGAAAGAAAUGACGGUACCUGACUAAGAAGCCCCGGCUAACUACGUGCCAGCAGCCACGGUAAUACGUAGGGGGCAAGCGUUAUCCGGAUUUACUGGGUGUAAAGGGCGCGUAGACGGCGAUGCAAGUCUGAAGUGAAAGGCGAGGGCCCAACCCCCGGACUGCUUUGGAAACUGUAUGGCUGGAGGGCAGGAGAGGUAAGUGGAAGUCCUAGUGUAGCGGUGAAAUGCGUAGAUAUUAGGAGGAACACCAGUGGCGAAGGCGGCUUACUGGACUGUAACUGACGUUGAGGCUCGAAAGCGUGGGGAGCAAACAGGAUUAGAUACCCUUGUAGUC